CGAUUUUUGUGUCAAAAGUCAAGUUGUGUCAAUGUCAAAAUGUUUCAAGCAGCAUUUUUAAUUCGCAAGAUUAUUUCGGUAUCGAGCCUAUCAAGAAAACUAUUACUGUAAGUAGUCGAGAUUACGAUUAUCAACUUUUCCUACGCGUUCCCCUGGUAUACUAAAAUGGCACUAGCGUCAUCCUUUAUUCGCCUAAUUAUGCAAUCUUCCAAGGUGACUGAUCAAGUGUUGUCACCUCGUCUUUAUUCGUUUUGUUUCUAUUCGUUCUGUGAUAUUAACCUGUCCGCAAAAAAUUAAUGACCUAUUCUCAUUCGGUUAUGCACGCUACAUAACUGGAACGAAACCGUGAAUUGCUUGUUAACAACCUAAGUAUGUUUACGAUAUUGUUUUUUUCUUUAAAGCGUCUUGCAACUUAUUCUAAUUGGAAGUUCUCGUCCAUUUUUUCACAGGUACGUCAUUACAAUGACUAAUCAUCAGCUGUUGGAAAACACGGAAAUACAUGCAACGAAAUGUGUGCGGUAAUUUAUGUGUACAGUCAUUAUCUUUUUACAUGACUUUAUAGCAUCGAUUGCUAAACGAUUGGCGACGAAGUUACAAUCGAAGUAUGAAUUACGUUGGAAAUUUUAAGUGGCGGAUCUUUAGGAGUAUGAUAAAUUAAAUACAAAUGCAAUAAAUUAACGAAGUGUUUUACUUGUUUUGUCUAUGCUAUGAAGGUGGAGUAUAUAUACUACAACUUUGAAUUGGAGUCCUAAAGAAGAGUGAAACCAUGCAGAGUUAAGAAUAAUGAAAAUCAAAUUUACAAAUAAUUAUUUAUGUUCAAAUGUAUAUGUAUAAGGAAAUCCCGAGUGUCAUUAAUUUGUUCUCGAGUCAUACACGCAAUCCAUUCUCUAAUUCGCAAGAUGAAGAAGUAAUCGGUAAUGGAAGGAACCGAUUUAUUCGAAUUGUCUUCGCCUACGCCAUGGAUCAUUGAUUCUAUACUGGUACCGGAAUGUAAUACGGAAAGAAACAUUUUUUAUUCUACGGCCCGCGCGAAUACGCUGGAAUUUUCCUGUUAGAGGUUAUCGUACAAGGAAGUGAACGGAAACUCGGGUCUUCCAGACUGGUUGAUAGAGGUUGUCCGAGAAAGAGGACAGAGAAAGCAGAAAUAUUAUGCGAGCACAAACAAUGAUUCCAGAGAAAUUAGUAUUUGGAUGAUGCUGGGUGGAGAAUAAUAAGAAAAGAUGAUCAAGCAUUAUAUUGCCACGCGCUAUAUUGCCAUGUUGUAUGACGACACAUUGCAGUAAGACAGGGUGCAUGAUUAUACGACGACUUGCAUUACAUCGCAUUGUACUGCAGAAUACUGUAACACUCAGUUCUAAAAUUCAAUAUUCUAAAAAUAAUACUUGAAUACCAAUUGAUAUUAUAAUCAUAAUGUACAGGGAAACAGAAUGUAAAAGGGGUAUGUGAUAGGAACUGAGGGAUUGGCAGAAAACCACUUAAAUGCCAAGGAUAAAUGCGAUUCUACAUUUCUUCCCAUUCUUUGGAUAACUGUUGGGAAAGCAAUAAAUAUGAGUUGUUAGAAAUGAUAUUACAGAGCAAUGGCUAGAAGAGUCAGAAGAAAGAGAUACAAAGUUUCUCUUGUUUUUAUUUAUGCGGAAGAAAUGACAUUUCUUUGAAAGAAAUGAUAGUAAAAUUUUGAUGUCGACGUGAAAGAGAGAAUCAGCUUUUUGUGCAUGCUGUAAUAAUUUUGCAACAUGGUAAAAGUCAAUGAACUUUAAAAUCAUAUAAAUUGAUGAAGAUUUAUUUGGAACUAUCAUUGGAGACACUUUGGAAUGCUAUCACGAGUCGAUUCUAGCUAAAUUUGAUGAUUCCUGCUUUGCCGACGGUUCAUAUGUAAAAUAUCUACAUGGAAAUAAUGUCCAAAGAUCUUAAUGAAGAUGUCCUGCAGUACAUGGUGUGAUACAUUCCAAUUGCUUUGUUGGUAAUGAAGGGAGUGACAUAAUGCAGUCUCGCUAUAUGGCAGAUUCCGAUUUGUAGACCUUCGUGGAUGCUGAUACCACAUUUUUCUUAUUAUAGUUAGUUAUCAUUGUUAAUAUUU
rnacentral:lncRNA from 1 species